UGGUAAACAAGUAUGGCAAUUUAUUUGGCUGUAGGCUUGCUUGAAGAGUGAGCAGGUGAGCAAAGAGACAAGAUUACAUGUUUAAACCAAGAAAAGAAUCUUGAAAGACAUUGAACCUAGAGACUCUGGGAAAUAUUUUUUUAAAUGGGAGACAUCCGUCCUUUUAGGAACUCCAUUUAUUGGACCUGGGCAUGUUCUUUUGGAAGGAUAGGAUUCAGAUAAGCGAGAGAGAGGAGACUUCCUUUGGCAUAACCUUGGACAAGCUACUGAGUGUUCCUUCUGCAGUGAAACAAUAGGAUUCUGGAUAAAACAUACUUUCUAAUGAAUUACUUGACUUCAGGAAACUUUUUUAACAACUCUAAAGAUCCUUCUUCCUUGCCUCAGGAUGAAAAAAUUAAAAAGCAUGAGGUGAAACUGCUGUUGAAGAGUAAUAAACAAACAGGAAAAGUGGGAUGGACAAUUAAAUUGUAUGGGUUGUAUUUAUUUGCAAAGAUACUGUUGGAAGUAUAGCAGUCACAUGCUCUAUUAGACUGCUCCUAAACCGAGCCUUAUUUGAAAAAAAAAACAAGGAGAACCAACAACCACAUUUGUAGACCCAGUUUUUUGGUGUCCUUUUUUUUUUUCCUUUUGGUAUCUUCAGUUAAGUAGCCAACCACUUUCAUAUUGUCAGAUCUGUUUUCAGAAAGAGGGCCUACUUUUGCUCAGAAACCAGUGUUCUGUGUGGAGAAAACAUGGGUCUCCAUUGAAGGAAUCCUACAAAUCUCUGAUAUCUGCAUGUUUGAGAAAGUACUUUCAUUCAGACACAUGGACUGUAACUUCUGA
rnacentral:lncRNA from 1 species